UAUUGUGAUAUAUCUCUAUCUUUUUGUUCUCAUAUUAUUCUCUGUGCAAAUCCGGUAUUGUCAUCAAUCCACCAAAAAGGGGGAGAUUGUUGGGGCAUAGAUUAUGCCUAAGUAAUUUUGGUGAUUGAUGACAGUACCGUAAAGGACUAACCGUGUGUGUUAAGGUUUCAGAUAACACACGUCAACGGCACAAGACGACUCGUCUCCUCAUUCAUGGAACGGAAGCACGGCGCUCUC
rnacentral:lncRNA from 1 species